GGCGGUCCAUAUGGGGAGGAAAGACGGGACCGAAUAUCCUAGGUGAUUGAAUGACUGACUAUACAGAAGAUUUUCAAUUUAUUUACAAACAAUGUAUUUCCUAACAUUGGUAGGAACUGUUGACUAGAUUAGACAAUCACAAAUUAUUAUGUCUAUAGAUGACAAUCUUUGUAAACUUACUUUUGAUGUUAUAGCACUUGAAUAUAUUGCUAGUCUUAUAUUAAAAUGAUUCAGAUGUUGCUAAGUUCCUAAAAAUUCCAAGAUCUUGACUAGAUUUCAAGACAAGAAGUAAUUUUAGAUUUCAAGACAAGACAAGAAAUUUCAAGUCAAUAUUAAGACUCCUUGGCAUACAAAAAUAAGAAACCUUGGAAUAUCUUUACUAUAACGAAAACGCUAAAACGUAGAUAUUUAAUUAUGAAAAAAUUACAUAUUUCAACAUAACAUAUGCAUUUUGAUUCAUUGAACAUAUUUUCUGCUGAAUCGAUUCACAAAAAUAUAAAUUAAAAAUAUUUGAUGAUAGUUCUGUUGAAACUAAAAUUGCAAACUAGAUAUGAACUUUUUUUAAACCGAAAUCAGACCAUAAGACUUCGAUUUCUUGACUUUGUUUUUGUUAGAGCUGCUCUCGAAAUUAGCUUUCCGCAGGUCCAUACAUAUAAAGGGCAAGAAAUUGUUAUCAAGUCAAGAAUUCUUGUCUUGUCGAUUACUGUGAUUGUUAUAGCACUUGAAGAUAUUACCAAAAUUUGUAAAAUACAGACAUUCUGACGAAAUAAUAGAACGAUCUGUUGAGGGGACACAAAAAAAAAUAAUGAAC